UCUUUCUCACCCUUCUCUGUCCUUUUUACUUGUGUCCUGUUUUUCAGGGUCCCAUCAUAAUUUCUUAAGAAGCUGCCAUGUUAAAAAAAAAUAUUUUGUGCCGCCAUGCUGUUUGUUGAUGUGGUAAAUAAAUAGUUUAUGAAAAUACCACUAAA